GAUGAACGCUGGCGGCGUGCCUAAUACAUGCAAGUCGAGCGAACAGACGAGGAGCUUGCUCCUCUGACGUUAGCGGCGGACGGGUGAGUAACACGUGGAUAACCUACCUAUAAGACUGGGAUAACUUCGGGAAACCGGAGCUAAUACCGGAUAAUAUAUUGAACCGCAUGGUUCAAUAGUGAAAGACGGUUUUGCUGUCACUUAUAGAUGGAUCCGCGCCGCAUUAGCUAGUUGGUAAGGUAACGGCUUACCAAGGCAGCGAUGCGUAGCCGACCUGAGAGGGUGAUCGCCCACACUGGAACUGAGACACGGCCCAGCCUCCUACGGGAGGCACCAGUAGGGAAUCUUCCGCAAGGGGCGAAACCCGGCCGGGGCAACCCGGCGUGAGUGAUGAGGGUCUCCGGACCGAAAAACUCUUUUAUUAGGAAAAAAAAAAUGUGUAAGUAACUAUGCCCGUCUGGACGGUCCCUAAUCAGAAACCCACGGCUAACUCCGUC
rnacentral:rRNA from 1 species